AAAAAAAAAUCUACGCAUAUUCAUCCAAUGUAGGCAGCAUUUACAUAACAGAUAAAUGGCAACUUUCAGAAAAGUAUUAUGUGAUUCUGUUGUCUUUUAAUAGUCAUACUCAUAGCAAAGGGGAUUUUACAUGAGUCACGCACACCUAUAAAAGUCAAGAAUACCCACUAGUUGGUUUACACUUACACAAGAGCAAACAAGCGAAUCAGACAGAGGGGAGGAAAAGAAACUGAGGAGAGCGAAGAGCUAAGCGAGGAAGGACAAAGAGAGAGACUGAGAGAGAGAGAGAGACCGGUUGCUGAGGAAGUGUUUUGUCAUUGCUGAGACAGGACACCUUCAACACCACCGGCAGUGAGGUAAGCAUGGGAGUGAAGCACGGGAGCCUUCAAGCAUGGUCCCAGGUUGAGGUUAAUGCUAAUCGUGAUAGGGGUUGUUCUUAUUAACAGACACCUAACAUGUUAGCAUUAGCUUCACUUUGGGAGAUCUCACAGGACAAAAAAAGCUGAAGGCCACUGCUACGACGAAAAAGAGGAGUCAUCAUGACACUGAGGAAUAUGAGGCAGGCACAGAGCGAAGCUGCAGGGGAAUAACCGUUCAGUCAAGCACAUGCUCUGUUUCACUGGCUGUAAUUUAAGCCGUUUAGAUGGUUAUAACUCUGGGGUUGUCAGUUUGGUGCCCGUUGGGAGCAUUUUGUGCAGCGGUGCAGCGACACCUGCAAGGAAAUAUGAAAUAGCUGCAGUUCCUGUUGUAUUACAUAUGAAGUGGUACAGAAAGAAAAAGACCAAAUUCUCUAAUUACAAUUCUCUGUUUUUGGAUCUGGGUCGUCAAAUCUUUGAGGAACCCCCAAUUUCUUUCAAUUCUGCCUUGGCACAACCUUACAUCUGAGUUCAAAGAGUCAGGGCUUUUCUCUGCUUCUCUGACUUUUACCCUAACACUAAAAGAAUCAUUUCCACCUUACUACUUUGCUGUUACAGUGUAUUUCCAGGUGCAUGGAUGCAGUAAAAGGUGGAAAAAGUAACAUUUUAAAAUGUGAGCAUUAUGGAUGAAUCAGCUCUGCUAGAGAUGACAGCGGUUAAAGAGAAAGAGGAAGCCAGUUCAUCAUCAAACAAACUAAACGGUUAAAGGUGCACUUUUAUAUUUCUGUUGAUUUCACAGAUCAGCUGAGAAAUCCUGAAAAUUUGCUAACACAGACUGUAAAUCGCUUAAGCUGUGUUGUGUACUUUCUCUAAGUUGCUUCACAAGAAAAUAAAACCAAUUACAAAACACC